UUGUGAUGUAGUAAAGGAAAAAAAUGAUAUUACUUUACCAAUAGUGUCGUCCAAAUUCUGGUGCCAGAAGACUCGGUAAGGCCAGAGACGCAAACGUUAAUCCUCCUGAUUAGGCGUAAAGGGUAAGUAGGCUGCUUCAAAAGUAUUUAAAUUUAAAUAGACAUAAUAUUUUAUAUUUGUAAAUCAAAAUAUGAAUUGAAGCUAGAAUCAAGAAGAGGAUGAACCGAAUAAUACUUAGAGGAGGGUUUAAAUCCUUAGAUCCUAGGUGGAAUACUAACGGCGAAAGCUUUUCAUCCAAGUAAUGAUUGACGCUGAGGAACGAAGGGGAGGGCAGGAAACAGGAUGUGCGACUUGCAAAGCUUAAACAUUAUAUUGUAUUUUUUAAAAUACAUUAUUUUUCGUCUAAUAAUAGCCAACCUAGACAUGCAUGACUAGUAAUAGAAAUGUUUGAAGCUCUAGGGUAAAAUUAACUGGGUUAUCGACCCUAUGCUAUACAUUUUUAUAGCUAUUAAUGAAGGCUGAUUUCUAUGGUUAGGGAAACCGAACUUAUGUAAAUAAAGUUUAUUAACUAGGCAACUAAUCGUCCUGGUUAGUUUGAAGACGAACAAACAGUUAAUAUUUCAAAGUAAGAACCUAAGGAAAUCUAUCGUAUAUGUUUAGGAACAGGAAGACCUAUAACUUGCGACAUAUUUGUUGCUAGCUUGUGCGCCGAGCAUAGUAUUUGGUUAGAGGUAUAUGAUUUAGAGAAAGCGAAUGCCAGUUGUAUAAUUGGAUAGGGCAUAUUUGCCUACCUGAAAGGGUGCCCACUUCCUGAAGGUGAUAAUUUUAUUGCUCGAGCCGUAUGCGCUGAAAGGUGCACGUCCGGUUCCUAGGAGGGGAAAGUUCGCGAGAACCUACCUAUUCCAAAUAGAUACCCUAGUACUCCUCCCAGUCAACGAUGAAUGGUAGUCAUUAGUUUAUAUAAACUAUAUGAUCAAUGCUAACGCGAGAAACCAUUCCGCCUGUUUUGCAAUCUUGGAAAUUGUAAUUAUGGGUAAAAACUGCCAAACUCCGGGGACAUCCUAAAGCGAUUGGUACUAAGCUAUUACCGAAAGAUAAUCAGUGGCCAGAAUAAUUCCCUGGGUACAGUAACAAGCUAAUCGAUGAGUGAAAACGAAAUGGACAAUCGCGGAUCUAAAUCAUAAAUAAAUAUUUUUGUAAAAGAGCAACGAGUAGACGGUAGUUAUUGCAUUUAACCAAAAAUUAUGCAAUUAAGGUGUACUCUAAUGGGUUACGAAAGUAACUAUCAACUUCAAAUCCUUUCUAACCAAUUUAGAAAAUUCUUUUAUUUUACUUUAUUGAAAGGUUUCGCGUAGCGGUUUCUCAACUUAAUCAAUUGUUGUCUUUCAGUAAGGACAAACAUUUAAUAUGGCCUUAUGUUGAUGCUACCCUACGAAACUAAGACGUAAAUCAAAAUCUCUAAAUUGCAUGAUAAAUUGAACGACCAUGUGUAACUACGACUGCAAAGUUAACCCACAAAAAAAUUCGUCGGUUUUUUA
rnacentral:rRNA from 1 species